rnacentral:rRNA from 1 species
AAUUCCAGCUCCAAUAGUGUAUAUUAGAGUUGUUGCAGUUAAAAAGCUCGUAGUUGGAUUUCUGCUGUGGUCAUCCGGUGCCGCCCGUACGGGUGCGCACCUGGUUUGGCUGCGGCUUUCUUCCUGUAGCCUUCCGCGCUUAAUUGCGUGUGUUGUGCUGCGGAACUUUUACUUUGAGAAAAAUAGAGUGUUUCAAGCAGGCUUGUCGCCCUGAAUACUUCAGCAUGGAAUAAUAGGAUAGGACCUUGGUUCUAUUUUGUUGGUUUCUAGGACCAAGGUAAUGAUUAAUAGGGACAGUUGGGGGCAUUCGUAUUUAACUGUCAGAGGUGAAAUUCUUAGAUUUGUUAAAGACGAACUACUGCGAAAGCAUUUGCCAAGGAUGUUUUCAUUAAUCAAGAACGACAGUAGGGGGUUUGAAGACGAUUAGAUACCGUCGUAAUCUCUACCAUAAACUAUGCCGACUAGAGAUAGGGAAAUGCCUACCUUGGCUUCUCCUGA